rnacentral:lncRNA from 1 species
UGCAUGCAAAGCGGUAGAUGUGUUUAAGUUUAGAGCAAAACAACCGAGAUCGGCAGCAUUGCUAUCUCUGAAAAUACCACCGCAAUCAGCCGGCAUAGAGCAACCUUUUGCUGUGUGCCAUCUAUUUUAAAAAAGAAAUAGACAAAAGCAUCGACAUUUAGCCACUCUUAUAUAUCCAAUAUAUUUUCCAUUCAUAGUCGAUGAUGUGAGACUUAACCAUUCACACUUGUGUGAGUCCCCACAUUGUAUAGUUGAUCCAAUAACAUGAUCCACUCCCUCUCCCGCAUCAAGCCAAACCACGACUCUGAUACCUUUUCUUGGGGAGUCUGGGGGAGUGUCGAGAGAAACAACGGGUCAGUGCUCCAGGAUCACAAGAGAGGAAGACGCCAUAUUUCCACCCAAAACCUUAAGGAAUUAGUUUCAUGGA